GUUGGUGGCACAGAGAACACGUCGUGGCAGCACAGUUUGCAGAAAGCCCAGGGUAUAUACCAGUGCAGAGGCACCAGAUCAUGUGAGAUGUUAUUCCAGGACUUUUUUGCCUUCAUUAGUUUUCAACAGUUGGUGCCUGGCCACCGCUGGAGCUGAGACGCCAGGUGGGUCGGCUACAGGAUUACAUACUGCCUUACAGUAUGGCAAGACCAUGAAGACAGAGAAUGAAGAGGCUGCCUGUGUUCUUAAUAUCAACUUAUAGUUUCUACUGAUAGAAGAAUGUUAACAUUCAGGGCUACAAUAUGAAAGGUGUACCUUAAAAGACUGUUGUUAUUCUGGAGGACAAUUUCCUAUAUGAAAAGGUUUGCAUCGAUGUUUUAGGAAAUCUAUAUUAAGCGUUACCUUGAGAGAUAAAGAUUAAUUCCCCCUUCAGCUUAAAAAUUGUGAUAGCUGAGUUAAAACCAAUCAUCCUGCUGCAUUUUUAUGUGCAAGCAAUAUAAAGUCUGAACCACUGUGCUUUUAAAGAACCAAUUCAAUAAAACUAAAAACAAUUACAAAGAAGAUUGAUUGCUGGAAAGAAUUUAAC
ensembl:lncRNA